CGCGACAGACGCAUCAGUGCGCCGCGAGUGCAAAAUCAUAAUGCCUGAGUGUUCGUGUAUGCGCGUAACUAUUUAUACUCUAACAAUUUUGUGAUGAGGGUAAUGAGCAAAAAGUGCCGUGAGCCGCGCCAAGGUAUGUUUUUCACGUGCACCCUCCUUCUAAAUUGUUAUAGAAUUGUGUUCAGAUUUUGAUAGUGAUUUAAUUUGUAAAUUAUAGCGUUUUUUGAUACCAAAUUGUAAUAGUCUUGUAGCGGUAACCUUAACCUACAUAAUAUUGUAUAAUAAACCUAAUAGUUCUGCCGUUUAAGGCCUGAUUUACCUAUGUAAACAUUUCUCGAUAGUAAAAAUCCUAGACUUUCAUUAGUGAAAUAGUGUUUAACUGAAAGCCUAGGUUUCAUUGUAUACAAAAUAACUUAAUUUAUAGAAAUAUUGUUAAUAGUUUAAGUUAUAGAGCAAUAAAUAAUGUCUGUGUUUUGACUUUCAUUUCACAUGCAAAUUAACAAUACUAGGGCUUAGGUCACAUUGUUAGGAUUACUAUCGCCAGAUAGCCCAUGAAAUGCCCUAACACACACUGCCUUUCGUAUCGAGAUACCCCCCAUAGUUUGUUUUUUAUCUCGAGAUAAUCUUCACAUAAGGGCCGAUUUCACAUAGUUUUUUAUAGUUAUUCGGUUAUAGUAUUUCAGCCCUGAAGGUAUGCAGGGUGUGUAUAGUAUAGUUCAGUAGCGCACUUCAUGGGGCGUCUGACGCUAGGUGUCCUGUAAUGAUAUCAUGUACCAAUUGUUUGUAAUACUGCUGUUAAAUUGAAAGGUCAAUAAAACUGAGGUUGGUCGGAGGGACGAGAAAUCGAGGUGCUCGUCACGGUAAAGUUUCGAGCUCAUUCGGUGCGCAAGCGCCGCCGUACAAUCGUAGUCAUCGGUAUAGAUUUUUGAUAGUGUAACAAGUAAAUAGUGAAAAGUAAAUAGUGUAAUUGUAGUAUGGUAAGUGCGUCGAAGCUCGUCCCUUCAAGACUCCUGAAAAAUAUAUGAAGACUUAUUAUUUCACCGGCAUCCCUGAACCUAUAGUAGCAGAGAGCCUAAAACCCGUCUAAACGUAUUCUUGUUUCUGAAAUUCCUGUUUCUCGCCACAUCGUAAAUACAGUCCACUCGCCCAGACGUCCAAGAACCAGCGACCGACGGGGCGUCAACGUCUCGAAGCCACCCCAUAGUACCUGCUUCUGAGUUACGUCCGUCCCGCACAUCUGUUUGGUCCUUGCGACCCGGAUCGCCUGGGAAGCGAGCCAGGAACUUCAGCUGAAGAUACUGAAGAGUUGUAAACAGCAAGUAUGCCUGUGACAAGAUCGCAAGGAAGAGCCGCUCAAGCCUGGAUCAUCGACGCCAGACCGGGCCGCCGCACACCCCCCAUCGUGCACGACCAGCCGCCGUUCUCUCCAACCACCACCGAGGGGAGUGAGCAGCCCCCCCCUCCCCCGAGGGGGGGUGAAGACCUACCCUGCCCCGCAGCUGUGAGGGGAAGUGAGGCGCCGCCCUGCCCCCCUGCCCCGCGGGGGGGUGAAGACCGACCGCGCCCCCCUACCCCGCGAGGGGGUGAAGAGCGACCAGCGCCGUCGUCGUUGAUGCAGACUGAAGCGUCGUCAUCACUGAGGCCGCCUGGAACCAGUGCUGAAGAAUAUAGUUCAGGAGGAACACUGAAGGCUUGCGACAAGACAUACAACCGAGCUGUACCGUUGACUACCCGGGUUGACGCCCGUACCGAACUUAAGGCACCGUCGCACAGAUCGACGGCAUCAAAUAGAAAAAUUAGAAAUGCGCGUGAAGACUUAUUGAAGAUUAAGUUGGAGCUAGCGCAAAUAGCACUUCAGAGGGCCGAGGAAGAAUCGGACGACGAUUAUAUGGACGAUAGAAAUUCCAAUGAAGAGUACAUCCGUUCCUGGUUGGAGGAAGCUCCGGAACCAGACCCGCAGGACGCCGCCGCUGAGGGAGGACAUAGACCACCAGAUACCCUGGACCUGCCCGAGCCCCCCCCCUCCGCGGUUAUAGUGAAUCCGGUCCUGCGUGGAAUAAGUACUGCUCCUGGAAGAGACGCCGCCGCCGAGGGAGGACAUAGACUGCCGGGUACCCUGGACAAACCAGAGCCCCCCCCCUCGAAGACCAUCGAUACUGAAGCCCUUUCAUCAAUGAAGAAACCAGUUGAAGAUACCGCAGGGGGUGAAGGGCUCCGUCCGUUUAUCACGGAACUCACCUCCGCCAUCGCAUCGCUAGCCGGCAAUAGAAGCGAAGAGAAACCGGUGUACCACAACCCUGCUGCAUCGAAAGUCAUCAUGACGCUGCCGAACUUUAGUGGAUUGCAUACAGAAUGGCUAUCGUUCCGCGCCAUCUAUGAGACAACGCGACCAUAUUUCAACGAUGUGGAAAAUACGGCGAGGCUGAGAAGAAGCCUGCGAGGAAGAGCGCUUGACACAGUUAGUUCCGAGCUUAUCGGCAACGCCAGGCCAGAUGACAUCAUGAAGGAGUUGGAGCUUCAGUUUGGCCGCCCCGACUCAAUAGCGCAAGCGGAGACAGACAGACUGCGCGGGCUGCCACGCUGCGGAGAAGCACCGAAGGACAUCUGCACUUUCGCCAGCCGUGUACGAAGUGGCAUCGUCACACUGCGAGCGCUGAAAAAGGAACACUACCUCAUGAACGCCGAGCUUAUGCGCAUCCUCACAGAGAAGCUGCCGAACUCGCUACGUGUACAGUGGUACAAGACAUAUACUGAGAAGUACCAGUCAACGCCGGACUUGGGUCUCUUCAGCGACUUCAUCACCGAACAAGCUCGCUACUGCAGCGCGUUUGCACCGCCUGAAAACAUCAGUGAAGCUACUGGACUUAGACGUGUGACGCAGAGAACACACACCACUAUAGACAAGAAGCCCGCAUCGAAGUGCCGCAUCUGCGAGAUGGAUGGACACCGAUCGCUAGACUGCCACAAGUUCGUGAAGGCUUCUGCGGACAAGAAGUGGGAACUAGCCAAGCAACACAACAUGUGCUUCCGCUGCCUCCGCCAUCGUCAGCACGGACACAGAUGUCAGAAGAAGAGAUGUGGAAUCGAGGGCUGCACAGCAUCACACCAUCAUCUGCUUCACUAUAAGAAGAAGGCGAGCACUACUGAAGUUGCACAAGAAGCGCAAGAAAUAGUCGCAAGUUCACGCAACCACACAAAUCAAGCGUUCCUGAAAAUUGUUCCGGUGCAACUGUCCGGACCGGCGGGAGAAGUGCGCACCUACGCACUGCUGGAUGACGGCUCAACCGUGUCACUGAUUGACGAAGAGCUAGCAGACAUGAUCGGUGCAGAGGGACCAGUCGAGCCGAUGAAAAUAGGCGCCAUCAGCGACGUGACUAUCGACACGCCCACGUCGAAGAGAGUUGAUCUCACGCUAUCGACCUGCCAUAGGAAGAAGAUACCCUUCAGGGCGCGCACCAUACCACGCCUGCACCUGUCGCCGCAGUCAAUCAGCAAGGAUGACAUCGCUGACUGCAAGCACCUGUUCGACCUGGCAGAUCAGCUGACGUACAACGCAGGGACGCCGAAGAUUAUCAUCGGGCAAGACAACUGGCAUCUGCUCCUAGCAACAGAUAUAAGAAGAGGGCCCCAGCAUCAGCCGAUAGCAUCGUUAACUCCUUUGGGCUGGGUGCUGCACGGUGCCCGCACUAAGACGCAGGAACAGCAGGUGCACUACGUCAAUCAACUGAAUAGCGCCGAGGAAAACAUAGACAAGCCAUUCGUCGCACAUCGAUUGGCCGCCAUAGAGGAAAAUAGCAGAGUCGAAGAGUGGCGCUGGGUGCCUACAAAAAGCAACAUAGCCGACGCCGCCACCCGCGACGUCCCGACGCACUUUCACACCGACCACGAGUGGUACCGCGGCCCUAAGUUCCUCUACGACGACCCAUCGACAUGGCCGACCGAGUCACCAGCUAACAGUCAACCGACAGGCGAGGAGAAAACAGUCACGCUCAUACAAGCGGCCGCAGCAAACCUCAUAGACGUCGUUCCCGAACCCGCUCGAUUUUCAAGGUGGGAGCGAUUGCUGCGCGCCACAGCCAGAGUACUACAGUUUAUAGCGUUGUGUAAAAAACAACAUACAGAAAAAACGUUCUACAAACGAACAAAAAAAAACAAAGAAAACGAUCCUGAUUGGUCGAGAGCGGUGCGAGCGCCCCGCGCGCCCGCCGAAGCUGCGCGCGCCCAAAUAUACACAUGCAAGUUUAUUAUAUUGGACGCGACAUACAUUCAAAGAGCAGAGAAGCUGUUAGUUCGUGUGGUGCAACAAGAAGCCUUUAAACAAGAAAUAGCCAGUCUCGAGAGCAACAAAACAGUCGCAAGUAGUAGCCGGCUGUACCCGCUGCGCAUAGAACUAAACGACGGAGUUAUAGUACUGCGAAGCCGCAUAGCUGCUGUAGACAAAGUCGCUAAAAGCGUGAAGAGUCCACCUGUGUUAGACGGCGAUCACCGUAUUACACAGCUAUAUAUAGAUUGGACACACCGUAGCCUACAACACAGCGGCACCGAGCUCGUCGUGAAUGAGGUCAGACAGCACUACUGGAUUGUGCGCCUGCGCCCGACAGUCAAGCAAGUCAUCGCGCGCUGCCUGCACUGCCGCAUACGUCGCGCGCGCGCGCCGACGCCGGCAACCGGCGACCACCCGAAGACACGCCUAGCUCAUCACCGCAGGCCGUUCACAUACACCGGGCUUGAUUAUUUCGGCCCGCUGUCAGUCACCGUCGGUCGUCAGCAUCAUAAGCGAUACGUGGCGCUGUUCACGUGUCUCACAACAAGGGCAGUUCACCUCGAGAUCGCGCACAGCCUCAGCGCGGACUCAGCUGUGUUGGCGCUGCGCAGGUUCGCAGCGCGACGCGGCUGUCCCACCGAAAUCUACUCCGACAACGGCACCAACAUGCACGGUGCUGACCGUGAGCUGCGUGAGGCCUGCCAGGAGGAGGCCAGCCGACGCGGCAUCGCCUGGCGCUUCAUCACGCCUUCCGCGCCUUUCAUGGGAGGCGCCUGGGAGCGCUUAGUGCGGUGCGUUAAGACCGCGCUAGGCGCCACGCUGCACGAGCGCCACCCACGCGAGGAGGUCCUCGCGACGCUGCUCUGCGAGGUCGAGUACGUCGUCAACAGCCGGCCGCUCACCCACGUAUCUGUGAGCGGCGACGACGACGAGUCCAUCACACCGAACCAUUUCCUGCUGGGCGGCUCGGCACGCCUGCCGAGCCCCGGCACGUUCGACGAGCGAGACAUCGACAGCAAGAAGCACUGGCGGCGCGCCCAGAUACUCGCCGACAUGUUCUGGCGCCGCUGGGUGCGCGAGUACCUGCCCGAGCUCCAAUACCGGCGGGAGCCGCACGCCCGCGGCCCCGCGCUGCAGCUGGGCGACCCCGUCCUCAUCGCCGACGGCAACCUGCCUCGCAACACCUGGCCGCGAGGCCGGGUCGUGGCCGUCUACCCGGGCGCUGAUGGUGAAGUUCGGACCGCUGACGUGCGCACCGCAGGUGGCAUACUAAAGCGUCCGACGAAGAAACUCGUGCCGCUGCCUAAGUAACCGGGCAGUGCGGCAUCACCGGCGUCGCGGCGCCCUAGCGCUAUCACUGCGCCGUCGCUCACCGGAGAUGCGGCAUCGCUGCGAGCCAGAGCUACGAGUCAUCGCUACGGGUCAACGCUUCGAGUCCCUACAUCGUGUCAUCGUGUCAUCAUUCAUCGUUUAAUAGACUAAAUAGUGAUAGUGAAAGUGAAAGUGAUAGUGCCUACGCUCUGCCGCACGGCGGGAGAGAUGUUCGCGACAGACGCAUCAGUGCGCCGCGAGUGCAAAAUCAUAAUGCCUGAGUGUUCGUGUAUGCGCGUAACUAUUUAUACUCUAACAAUUUUGUGAUGAGGGUAAUGAGCAAAAAGUGCCGUGAGCCGCGCCAAGGUAUGUUUUUCACGUGCACCCUCCUUCUAAAUUGUUAUAGAAUUGUGUUCAGAUUUUGAUAGUGAUUUAAUUUGUAAAUUAUAGCGUUUUUUGAUACCAAAUUGUAAUAGUCUUGUAGCGGUAACCUUAACCUACAUAAUAUUGUAUAAUAAACCUAAUAGUUCUGCCGUUUAAGGCCUGAUUUACCUAUGUAAACAUUUCUCGAUAGUAAAAAUCCUAGACUUUCAUUAGUGAAAUAGUGUUUAACUGAAAGCCUAGGUUUCAUUGUAUACAAAAUAACUUAAUUUAUAGAAAUAUUGUUAAUAGUUUAAGUUAUAGAGCAAUAAAUAAUGUCUGUGUUUUGACUUUCAUUUCACAUGCAAAUUAACAAUACUAGGGCUUAGGUCACAUUGUUAGGAUUACUAUCGCCAGAUAGCCCAUGAAAUGCCCUAACACACACUGCCUUUCGUAUCGAGAUACCCCCCAUAGUUUGUUUUUUAUCUCGAGAUAAUCUUCACAUAAGGGCCGAUUUCACAUAGUUUUUUAUAGUUAUUCGGUUAUAGUAUUUCAGCCCUGAAGGUAUGCAGGGUGUGUAUAGUAUAGUUCAGUAGCGCACUUCAUGGGGCGUCUGACGCUAGGUGUCCUGUAAUGAUAUCAUGUACCAAUUGUUUGUAAUACUGCUGUUAAAUUGAAAGGUCAAUAAAACUGAGGUUGGUCGGAGGGACGAGAAAUCGAGGUGCUCGUCACGGUAAAGUUUCGAGCUCAUUCGGUGCGCAAGCGCCGCCGUACAAUCGUAGUCAUCGGUAUAGAUUUUUGAUAGUGUAACAAGUAAAUAGUGAAAAGUAAAUAGUGUAAUUGUAGUAUGUCCACUCGCCCAGACGUCCAAGAACCAGCGACCGACGGGGCGUCAACGUCUCGAAGCCACCCCAUAGUACCUGCUUCUGAG